AUGCUUACCUGGGGGGAGAUACCAUGAUCGUGAAGGUUGUUCUCCCAGGGUGAGGUUCAUCCACUCACUCCAGGUGUGCUGACCCCUGCAAUUUCCCCAAAUGUGGGAAACUCGACUGCAUAAUUUGUCAUAGUGAGACACUGUGUUUGUGCUUUCCCCUG
ensembl:snRNA U1 U1 spliceosomal RNA